UACGGAGGGUGCAAGCAUUAAUCGGAUUUAUUGGGCGUAAAGGGCGCGUAGGCGGAAAUGCAAGUCAGAUGUGAAAUCCCGGGGCUCACCCCCGGAACAGCAUUUGAAACUGCAUUCCUUGAGGGUAGGCGGAGAAAAUGGAAUUCCACAAGUAGCGGUGAAAUGCGUAGAUAUGUGGAAGAACACCAGUGGCGAAGGCGGUUUUCUAGCUUAUUCCUGACGCUGAGGCGCGAGAGCAAGGGGAUCAAACAGG
rnacentral:rRNA from 1 species